AACGAACGCUGGCGGCAUGCCUAACACAUGCAAGUCGAACGAGACCUUCGGGUCUAGUGGCGCACGGGUGCGUAACGCGUGGGAACCUGCCCUUAGGUUCGGAAUAACUCCCCGAAAGGGGUGCUAAUACCGGAUAAUGUCUUCGGACCAAAGAUUUAUCGCCUUUGGAUGGGCCCGCGUUGGAUUAGCUAGUUGGUAGGGUAAAAGCCUACCAAGGCGACGAUCCAUAGCUGGUCUGAGAGGAUGAUCAGCCACACUGGGAUUGAGACACGGCCCAGACCCCCCGGGGGGGGAGAAUGGGGGAAAUUGGAAAAAUGGGCGAAAGCCUGACCCAGAAAUGCCGGGGGAUUGAUGAAGGCUUUAGGGUUGAAAAGCUUUUUUACCCGGGAUGAUAAUGACAGUACCGGGAAAAAAAGCCCCGGUUAACCCCGG
rnacentral:rRNA from 1 species